UACGUAGGGUGCGAGCGUUGUCCGGAAUUAUUGGGCGUAAGGAGCUCGUAGGCGGUGUGUCACGUCGGCCGUGAAAACCUGCAGCUUAACUGUGGGCGUGCGGUCGAUACGGGCAUCACUGGAGUUCGGCAGGGGAGACUGGAAUUCCUGGUGUAGCGGUGAAAUGCGCAGAUAUCAGGAGGAACACCAACGGCGAAGGCAGCUCUCUGGGACGUUACUGACGCUGAGACGCGAAAGCGUGGGGAGCAAACAGG
rnacentral:rRNA from 1 species